AUGAAAAAUUAUAAAAAUAUAAAUUUAAAUUAAGAAAAACUAACAUUGGAAAAACAAGAAGUUAAUGUAAAAGAAAAAACCAAUAAAUAAUAUUAUAAAUAAAAUAAAUUUAUAAGACACAAUCUGCGCGAAACGCGGAAAAAAAUCUCUAGUAUCGAUAAAUUGAGUAGGUAAGAAGGCCACAUAUUGACCAAAAAAAUAAAAAAGGCCACAUAUUGACCAAAAAAAUAAAGAAGGCCACAUAAUAGCUAUAAAUAAUUUUACAAUUAAUUUUCUCAUCAUUUUAUUUCUUUCGAUUUAUUGUUAUAAUAUUUUUGAAUAAAAAUAUAUUUUGCUAUAAUAUAUUCAAACUGCACUAAUUUAGCAUAAGGACGCACGCAUCAUAUGAUUGAAAUUAUAAACUCACGCCCAUCCGUGCACUAUUUAUUCGUUCCUACGUCACUAAUGUUAGGAUGUACAACGCCGAUCGAUAAUAAAUCCAAUUUCGAAUUUAGUCUUUUUUUUAGAAAAACUUUGACUAGAAAAUAAAUUAUAUUUUUGAAUUUACAUAGUUAUUUUUGGGCUGUAUCAUUUACAGUGAUAACUCUAAUAUCUUUAUAUAUAAAAGAGGCUUUGUUUCUCUCUUAGAGUGUCCACAUCGGAUGACAGGUCACUAAUUCGAAGCAUGUAUGCGCGACACGUGUUCAAGUGACUUAAACUCACCAUUUCAUUUAAUCUUUUACGUGAUGGGCUUCGUCGUUUAACAUGUGGGUGUGUUCGAGGCUCUUUUACGUGAUAGACUUGAUCAAUUAUAUCUCACAGAAUAUGUAUUAACUAAGCCCAUUAUUGUUUCAUUCUAGGUCAACUGACUCGCUUCGUCUUCUCCGCAAGCAUCUUGAUCGUUCGGUCGUUAGAUCUUCUGGACAUUGAAUUUGUAGUUAGUGAUGCGUACUGCUAACGUAUGGAUUCAGUGAACAAUAUUAAAGUUUUCAUUAACAUCACUGAUCCACUCAUCCCACAACUUUUCAUUCAAUGCACCUCUAAUCUCAAUGUUUGUAGAUCUCGAUCUAUAAAAAGCGAGUUUGGAGUUGUGAAGAUCAUCACUUUCUUCUUAGUCAUUGUAAUCUUCACAAAUUCGUCAUCCCGGAAUGGCUAUUUCUUCCCAUCUGCUCGCCCACUUGAAGGCAUGAAGUCGUAACACCACAGUCCGUCGAAGUCCAGUUUUUGACAAACCUUAGCAGAUAAUCAAUGAUGACUGGCGUUCAUGUUGGAUCAAUCUUCUAAACUCCGAUUAGGCCAGAUUGGUGAAUGGCACCUCAAUUGCCGCAAAAAUCUACCUAACUUGAUCCAUGAAUUUCUAAAACAGGGUCAUCGGGACAAUCACUGACUGUUACACUUCCUCUCGAUUUGUAAGCAACCACAUACAAAUCUUCGGCAAACCCAUGAUUCAGAGAACUUGGGAGAGUUUGGUGUUACCUCUACUCUCGAUGACUUUGGUAAUAUUGCUCCUCUCUACUCUUUUUGGUUACAUACAUAAGAAAGUUAUGAACUUUAUGAAUCAAAGGCCUUUUUUUGUAAACUAAUUGGUAGUAGCUCAGAUAAGAAGAACACAUGGAUGAUGGUUCUGAACAAAAGUUUCAAUGGCCACCGCUUCUAUUAUUAUGACUGAGUGAACGUGUCCACCUUAUCUGUGACACUUUUCACCCCUUCCACCUAUACAUGCGCUUCCUUCGAGAUCGUUUAAUCAUCGUGAUUGCUCAUUGAACGCAACAUCAACAUACCACCGAUGACAUUCUGUCAGGGAGAGAGAUCAAUGGCUCCCAUUUGUGAGGUGGAUGAGACGAUGAUAAAGGUUGCUUCAAGGUGUGAAUUGUUUUCUGAACUGUUAUGUUUUGCAAAUCGGUUAUUCAGCAAAAUAUGAUUUUUCCGUGGGAUGCUGAUACAACAUGUUAGAAUUUUCUGAUCUUGCAUUUUAUUUCCUAUUUUCAGUAAUAUUUACCGCCGUUUGAUUAAUCAACUACUUUGCAUGGGCUGUGGUUAGAAAUAUGCUAAUUUGUUAAUGGGUUUGCAUGUUCUUAUAUGCAUCUCAAAUGUUCUUAAUCAUGUGUUUGUUGAAAGAAAAAUAUUCUAGAAAGAAGUUUUCCUGAGUUGUAGUGAAGAUUUUUUUCUUUUGGCUGCGAGCAAAUAAUAAAAGUAUGGAUCUAUACUCAAUUAAUGAGAUAAGCGCAGUUGAGAGGUGUCGGAAUGAGAGGCUUUUACUUCGGAGAGCAAGCCAGAAACCAUAUACGGCGGAUGGUUUUGGGGCAUUGAAAAAAAAAAUGCUAUUGAGGAAGAUGUAAUUAUUACUUUUGUAUUGUUAGUGUUACUGAGACUUAAUUGUUAAAUUAAUCUUUUAAGUUCUGAAUUACUUUAUCUCUUGAACUGUCUAAACAUAAAGAAGAAACGUCGUCAUCCUCUUUACAUGUAAAACAUAUGAUUAUACUCUCAAGUUAAGGUGUACAUUUCUAAUUUUCCAGACACUACUGUGUAUAGUUUGGUAUGUAUUGUCUUUCUUUUGUUUUUAUGAGUUCCCCUCCACGGUCAGCUCAAGCUAUUUACUGUCUGAGUAUAUGAUAGUGUUACUCAUUUACAAGUGUACUCCAAAAAAAAAAAAAAAGAAACAAAAACAAAUAUAAAAAUGAUGGCCCUGAUGUUGGAUCGACCAACUAACUUCAAAUAUAUUCAAGACUUUCAAUAUAUUGAGUGUUUCGUGUUCCAUUCGUAAUUUUGGUUUUGUUUGUAAAAGUUGAAAUUAACCAUCAAAAAUUUGAGAAGUUAACAUAGAUAAUAAUAAGCGUUCCAAAAAAAGCAUAGAUAGUAUGAAAUAUAAUUUCCAAUUAAGAUGAAUUACAUUUGUUAAACUGUGUUGUUUAAUUACUUUGCUACAAUAUUUUUCACCAAAAAUAUUGUUGCAUGUUACGGAGAUACACAAUAUAUAUACACAUAAUGUAAUUCAAAAAUAUACAAUGUAAUAUAAAAUCAUUAUUGUUUCAUUCUAGGUCAACUGACUCGCUUCGUCUUCUCCGCAAGCAUCUUGAUCGUUCGGUCGUUAGAUCUUCUGGACAUUGAAUUUGUAGUUAGUGAUGCGUACUGCUAACGUAUGGAUUCAGUGAACAAUAUUAAAAUUUUCAUUAACAUCACUGAUCCACUCAUCCCACAACUUUUCAUUCAAUGCACCUCUAAUCUCAAUGUUUGUAGAUCUCGAUCUAUAAAAAGCGAGUUUGGAGUUGUGAAGAUCAUCACUUUCUUCUUAGUCAUUGUAAUCUUCACAAAUUCGUCAUCCCGGAAUGGCUAUUUCUUCCCAUCUGCUCGCCCACUUGAAGGCAUGAAGUCGUAACACCACAGUCCGUCGAAGUCCAGUUUUUGACAAACCUUAGCAGAUAAUCAAUGAUGACUGGCGUUCAUGUUGGAUCAAUCUUCUAAACUCCGAUUAGGCCAGAUUGGUGAAUGGCACCUCAAUUGCCGCAAAAAUCUACCUAACUUGAUCCAUGAAUUUCUAAAACAGGGUCAUCGGGACAAUCACUGACUGUUACACUUCCUCUCGAUUUGUAAGCAACCACAUACAAAUCUUCGGCAAACCCAUGAUUCAGGUUCCUUCUUGGCUUCUUUUUUUUUCAGUUGUGUUUCGACUGCGAUGUUUCAUGUUUGUAGCUCAACGUUUCAAAAUAUUCAACUUUAACAUUUGUUCUUGAACAGAGAACUUGGGAGAGUUUGGUGUUACCUCUACUCUCGAUGACUUUGGUAAUAUUGCUCCUCUCUACUCUUUUUGGUUACAUACAUAAGAAAGUUAUGAACUUUAUGAAUCAAAGGCCUUUUUUUGUAAACUAAUUGGUAGUAGCUCAGAUAAGAAGAACACAUGGAUGAUGGUUCUGAACAAAAGUUUCAAUGGCCACCGCUUCUGUUAUUAUGACUGAGUGAACGUGUCCACCUUAUCUGUGACACUUUUCACCCCUUCCACCUAUACAUGCGCUUCCUUCGAGAUCGUUUAAUCAUCGUGAUUGCUCAUUGAACGCAACAUCAACAUACCACCGAUGACAUUCUGUCAGGGAGAGAGAUCAAUGGCUCCCAUUUGUGAGGUGGAUGAGACGAUGAUAAAGGUUGCUUCAAGGUGUGAAUUGUUUUCUGAACUGUUAUGUUUUGCAAAUCGGUUAUUCAGCAAAAUAUGAUUUUUCCGUGGGAUGCUGAUACAACAUGUUAGAAUUUUCUGAUCUUGCAUUUUAUUUCCUAUUUUCAGUAAUAUUUACCGCCGUUUGAUUAAUCAACUACUUUGCAUGGGCUGUGGUUAGAAAUAUGCUAAUUUGUUAAUGGGUUUGCAUGUUCUUAUAUGCAUCUCAAAUGUUCUUAAUCAUGUGUUUGUUGAAAGAAAAAUAUUCUAGAAAGAAGUUUUCCUGAGUUGUAGUGAAGAUUUUUUUCUUUUGGCUGCGAGCAAAUAAUAAAAGUAUGGAUCUAUACUCAAUUAAUGAGAUAAGCGCAGUUGAGAGGUGUCGGAAUGAGAGGCUUUUACUUCGGAGAGCAAGCCAGAAACCAUAUACGGCGGAUGGUUUUGGGGCAUUGAAAAAAAAAAUGCUAUUGAGGAAGAUGUAAUUAUUACUUUUGUAUUGUUAGUGUUACUGAGACUUAAUUGUUAAAUUAAUCUUUUAAGUUCUGAAUUACUUUAUCUCUUGAACUGUCUAAACAUAAAGAAGAAACGUCGUCAUCCUCUUUACAUGUAAAACAUAUGAUUAUACUCUCAAGUUAAGGUGUACAUUUCUAAUUUUCCAGACACUACUGUGUAUAGUUUGGUAUGUAUUGUCUUUCUUUUGUUUUUAUGAGUUCCCCUCCACGGUCAGCUCAAGCUAUUUACUGUCUGAGUAUAUGAUAGUGUUACUCAUUUACAAGUGUACUCCAAAAAAAAAAAAAAAGAAACAAAAACAAAUAUAAAAAUGAUGGCCCUGAUGUUGGAUCGACCAACUAACUUCAAAUAUAUUCAAGACUUUCAAUAUAUUGAGUGUUUCGUGUUCCAUUCGUAAUUUUGGUUUUGUUUGUAAAAGUUGAAAUUAACCAUCAAAAAUUUGAGAAGUUAACAUAGAUAAUAAUAAGCGUUCCAAAAAAAGCAUAGAUAGUAUGAAAUAUAAUUUCCAAUUAAGAUGAAUUACAUUUGUUAAACUGUGUUGUUUAAUUACUUUGCUACAAUAUUUUUCACCAAAAAUAUUGUUGCAUGUUACGGAGAUACACAAUAUAUAUACACAUAAUGUAAUUCAAAAAUAUACAAUGUAAUAUAAAAUCAUUAUUGUUUCAUUCUAGGUCAACUGACUCGCUUCGUCUUCUCCGCAAGCAUCUUGAUCGUUCGGUCGUUAGAUCUUCUGGACAUUGAAUUUGUAGUUAGUGAUGCGUACUGCUAACGUAUGGAUUCAGUGAACAAUAUUAAAAUUUUCAUUAACAUCACUGAUCCACUCAUCCCACAACUUUUCAUUCAAUGCACCUCUAAUCUCAAUGUUUGUAGAUCUCGAUCUAUAAAAAGCGAGUUUGGAGUUGUGAAGAUCAUCACUUUCUUCUUAGUCAUUGUAAUCUUCACAAAUUCGUCAUCCCGGAAUGGCUAUUUCUUCCCAUCUGCUCGCCCACUUGAAGGCAUGAAGUCGUAACACCACAGUCCGUCGAAGUCCAGUUUUUGACAAACCUUAGCAGAUAAUCAAUGAUGACUGGCGUUCAUGUUGGAUCAAUCUUCUAAACUCCGAUUAGGCCAGAUUGGUGAAUGGCACCUCAAUUGCCGCAAAAAUCUACCUAACUUGAUCCAUGAAUUUCUAAAACAGGGUCAUCGGGACAAUCACUGACUGUUACACUUCCUCUCGAUUUGUAAGCAACCACAUACAAAUCUUCGGCAAACCCAUGAUUCAGGUUCCUUCUUGGCUUCUUUUUUUUUCAGUUGUGUUUCGACUGCGAUGUUUCAUGUUUGUAGCUCAACGUUUCAAAAUAUUCAACUUUAACAUUUGUUCUUGAACAGAGAACUUGGGAGAGUUUGGUGUUACCUCUACUCUCGAUGACUUUGGUAAUAUUGCUCCUCUCUACUCUUUUUGGUUACAUACAUAAGAAAGUUAUGAACUUUAUGAAUCAAAGGCCUUUUUUUGUAAACUAAUUGGUAGUAGCUCAGAUAAGAAGAACACAUGGAUGAUGGUUCUGAACAAAAGUUUCAAUGGCCACCGCUUCUGUUAUUAUGACUGAGUGAACGUGUCCACCUUAUCUGUGACACUUUUCACCCCUUCCACCUAUACAUGCGCUUCCUUCGAGAUCGUUUAAUCAUCGUGAUUGCUCAUUGAACGCAACAUCAACAUACCACCGAUGACAUUCUGUCAGGGAGAGAGAUCAAUGGCUCCCAUUUGUGAGGUGGAUGAGACGAUGAUAAAGGUUGCUUCAAGGUGUGAAUUGUUUUCUGAACUGUUAUGUUUUGCAAAUCGGUUAUUCAGCAAAAUAUGAUUUUUCCGUGGGAUGCUGAUACAACAUGUUAGAAUUUUCUGAUCUUGCAUUUUAUUUCCUAUUUUCAGUAAUAUUUACCGCCGUUUGAUUAAUCAACUACUUUGCAUGGGCUGUGGUUAGAAAUAUGCUAAUUUGUUAAUGGGUUUGCAUGUUCUUAUAUGCAUCUCAAAUGUUCUUAAUCAUGUGUUUGUUGAAAGAAAAAUAUUCUAGAAAGAAGUUUUCCUGAGUUGUAGUGAAGAUUUUUUUCUUUUGGCUGCGAGCAAAUAAUAAAAGUAUGGAUCUAUACUCAAUUAAUGAGAUAAGCGCAGUUGAGAGGUGUCGGAAUGAGAGGCUUUUACUUCGGAGAGCAAGCCAGAAACCAUAUACGGCGGAUGGUUUUGGGGCAUUGAAAAAAAAAAUGCUAUUGAGGAAGAUGUAAUUAUUACUUUUGUAUUGUUAGUGUUACUGAGACUUAAUUGUUAAAUUAAUCUUUUAAGUUCUGAAUUACUUUAUCUCUUGAACUGUCUAAACAUAAAGAAGAAACGUCGUCAUCCUCUUUACAUGUAAAACAUAUGAUUAUACUCUCAAGUUAAGGUGUACAUUUCUAAUUUUCCAGACACUACUGUGUAUAGUUUGGUAUGUAUUGUCUUUCUUUUGUUUUUAUGAGUUCCCCUCCACGGUCAGCUCAAGCUAUUUACUGUCUGAGUAUAUGAUAGUGUUACUCAUUGACAAGUGUACUCCAAAAAAAAAAAAAAAAGAAACAAAAACAAAUAUAAAAA